GAUGAACGCUGGCGGCGUGCCUAAUACAUGCAAGUCGAGCGAACAGAUGAGGAGCUUGCUCCUCUGACGUUAGCGGCGGACGGGUGAGUAACACGUGGAUAACCUACCUAUAAGACUGGGAUAACUUCGGAAAACCGGAGCUAAUACCGGAUAAUAUAUUGAACCGCAUGGUUCAAUAGUGAGAGACGGUUUUGCUGUCACUUAUAGAUGUAUCCGCGCCGCAUUAGCUAGUUGGUAAGGUAACGGCUUACCAAGGCAACGAUGCGUAGCCGACCUGAGAGGGUGAUCGGCCACACUGGAGCUGAGACACGGUCCAGACUCCUACGGGAGGCAGCAGUAGGGAAUCUUACGCAAUGGGCGAAAGCCUGACGGAGCAACGCCGCGUGAGUGAUGAAGGUCUUCGGAUCGUAAAACUCUGUUAUUAGGGAAGAACAAAUGUGUAAGUAACUAUGCACGUCUUGACGGUACCUAAUCAGAAAGCCACGGCUAACUACGUG
rnacentral:rRNA from 1 species